rnacentral:rRNA from 1 species
UACGUAGGGCGCAAGCGUUGUCCGGAAUUAUUGGGCGUAAAGAGCUCGUAGGCGGCUUGUCACGUCGAUUGUGAAAGCCCGAGGCUUAACCUCGGGUCUGCAGUCGAUACGGGCAGGCUAGAGUUCGGUAGGGGAGACUGGAAUUCCUGGUGUAGCGGUGAAAUGCGCAGAUAUCAGGAGGAACACCGGUGGCGAAGGCGGGUCUC